GAUGAACGCUGACAGAAUGCUUAACACAUGCAAGUCGACUUGAACUUCGGUUUGGGUGGCGGACGGGUGAGUAACGCGUACAGAACUUGCCUCACAGCUAGGGACAACAUUUGGAAACGAAUGCUAAUACCUGAUAUUAUGAUUAUAUGGCAACGUAUAAGUAUGAAAGGUAUAUGCGCUGUGAGAGAGCUUUGCGUCCCAUUAGCUAGUUGGAGAGGUAACAGCUCACCAAGGCGAUGAUGGGUAGCCGGCCUGAGAGGGUGAUCGGCCACAAGGGGACGGAGGCACCGCCCUUACUCCUACUGGCGCCAACGGUGGGAAAUUUUCGGAGAUGGACCGCGAGUCUGAUCCAGCUAUUCUGUGUGCACGAUGAAGUUUUUCGGGAUGUAAAGUGCUUUCAGUUGGGAAGAACAAAAUGACGGUACCAACAGAAGAAGUGACGGCUAACUACGUG
rnacentral:rRNA from 1 species